AGAGUUUGUCCUGGCUCAGGAUGAACGCUGGCUGUGUGCCUAAUACAUNCAUGUCGUGCGAAACACUUGUGUUUAGCGGCGAAUGGGUGAGUAACACGUACUUAACCUACCCUCAAGUUUGGGACAACAGUUGGAAACGACUGCUAAUACCGAAUAUUCUAUUUUAUCGCAUGAUAUUAUAGUGAAAGGUCCGUUUGGACCGCUCGAGGAUGGGAGUGCGUUACAUUAGUUAGUUGGUAGGGUAAUGGCCUACCAAGACGAUGAUGUAUAGCGGGGUUGAGAAGCUGAUCCGCCACACUGGGACUGANAUACGGCCCAGACUCCUACGGGAGGCAGCAGUAGGGAAUUUUCCACAAUGAGCGAAAGCUUGAUGGAGCCACACAUGCGUGCAAGGAUGAAAGGUCUUCGGGAUCGUAACNGG
rnacentral:rRNA from 1 species